UGGGGAAUAUUGGACAAUGGGCGAAAGCCUGAUCCAGCCAUGCCGCGUGUGUGAAGAAGGUAUUAGGAUUGUAAAGCAUUUUAAGUUGGGAGGAAGGGCAUUAACCUAAUACGUUAGUGUUUUGACGUUACCGACAGAAUAAGCACCGGCUAACUCUGUGCCAGCAGCCGCGGUAAUACAGAGGGUGCAAGCGUUAAUCGGAAUUACUGGGCGUAAAGCGCGCGUAGGUGGUUUGUUAAGUUGGAUGUGAAAUCCCCAGGCUCAACCUGGGAACUGCAUUCAAAACUGACUGACUAGAGUAUGGUAGAGGGUGGUGGAAUUUCCUGUGUAGCGGUGAAAUGCGUAGAUAUAGGAAGGAACACCAGUGGCGAAGGCGACCACCUGGACUAAUACUGACACUGAGGUGCGAAAGCGUGGGGAGCAAACA
rnacentral:rRNA from 1 species